ACAUCAGUAAGGUUUUUUCUUACCUGUUGUCGUAGAAAUAAAACUAUAGCACACAAUGAAUGGAUUCUAUGAAUAUUUGGUAAUAUUCUGUGUAUAGGGCUUGUCACCCAUUUAUGAAUCACCUCUGAU
rnacentral:snoRNA from 1 species